GCAAGACCCAUGAACAUGCUAUGUGAGUGGCUGAAGUAUGGGAAACUCUGAGGAGUUAAUACAGGAGCACUGAGGGUCAUUUCCUCCUUUUUUGGGGGGGACUGGAAGGGAAAGAGACUAGGAAAGGAAGGGAGGAAUGAGGGGGGAACAAACCUACUUACUUAUCUACGUACUUAUAAUUCUACUUCAGCCCUACUCUCCUGGUUCCAAGUUUGCCUUUAUGUACAGUUGUUUCCCUUACCUGUGUUUCCUCCAAGAUCUAGCUCUUAGCUCUCCCACCUGGACAUUUUUUUUUCUUAAGCCCUCAGAUAUCUUCAGGUAUCCAAAGCUCUAACCACCUCUACUUAGUACUCAUGUCUGACACACUCCAAAAUGUCUCCCAGAGCUUUUCGAGAGAUAAACUUUGUAACAGACAUGACAGAAACAGAGAUAGAGAGACAGAGAGAGAGGGAGAAGAGUUAUUUAUGGAGGAGAGAACACAACCUAGGAGGGGAAGGUUGUGGGGACAGUAGAGUCCAGUCAGGACUUUUGAGUCUUUGAGAUGGUACUGAGUUGUCUUCCGGUUUCUUAAACGGGCAUUUUUCUUUUCCUCUCUCUCAAGAAAGUGGAAAUCCAGAAAGAGGAAGUGACUUGCCCAAGAAAACAGGUCAAAGACCCAGUAGUUCCAUGAUGCAAAUGAAUGGGCACUGGUGGAAGAAUCAGCCGCCUGGAGGAGAUCUCUCAUCACAUGAAGCCAGUGGGGAGAAGAGGGCUCAAACGUCACAGACCCUACUGUUCCUACUGAAAUUCAGUAGAUUUUUGUAAAUAAAUGUUUUUCAAUUUUC